rnacentral:misc_RNA from 1 species
GAAAUGCGAUAGUAAUGUGAAUUGCAGAAUUCAGUGAAUCAUCAAAUCUUUGAACGCACAUUGCGCUCCUUGGUAUUCCGGGGAGCAUGCCUGUUUGAGAAUCAUUAAAAUCAUCAUUCUUCCUUGAGAGUAAUAUCUCAUGAAAGAAUGGAAUUGAGCUGUUUGCAUUUGCAAUGGCUUGAAAUUAAGUGUCUGAAGCUGUUAUUACAAAUAACGUGACAAUAAUGCUUGAAAAGGUUCUCCUUAGAUUUCAUUAUUAUCCGUUUUGUGUAAUAAAUGGUGAAUGCAUUUUGUUAUUGUGAAACAUUUACACUGUGACACCGGAAGGAGUUCAUUGUGUUAAUUAUUUACAAUAAAUUGUGAAGGAAUUACUGUAAUUCUUUCAAACUUGGUCUCAAAUCAGGUAGGAAAACCCGCUGAACUUAA